rnacentral:rRNA from 1 species
GACGAACGCUGGCGGCGUGCUUAACACACGCAAGUCGAGCGGUAAGGCCCUUUCGGGGGUACACGAGCGGCGAACGGGUGAGUAACACGUGGGUGACCUGCCCUCAGCUCUGGGAUAAGCCUGGGAAACCGGGUCUAAUACCGGAUAUGACUCCAUGACGCAUGUUGUGGGGUGGAAAGCCUUGUGCGGCUGAGGAUGGGCCCGCGGCCUAUCAGCUUGUUGGUGGGGUGANGGCCUACCAAGGCGACGACGGGUAGCCGGCCUGAGAGGGCGACCGGCCACACUGGGACUGAGACACGGCCCAGACUCCUACGGGAGGGCAGCAGUGGGGAAUCUUGCGCAAUGGGCGAAAGCCUGACGCAGCGACGCCGCGUGAGGGAUGACGGCCUCGG